rnacentral:rRNA from 1 species
UACGUAUGGUGCAAGCGUAAUCCGGAUUUACUGGGUGUAAAGGGAGCGCAGGCGGCACGGCAAGCCUGAUGUGAAAGCCCGCGGCCCAACCGCGGGACUGCAUUGGGAACUACCGGGCUGGAGUGCCGGAGAGGUAGGCGGAAUUCCUAGUGUAGCGGUGAAAUGCGUAGAUAUUAGGAGGAACACCAGUGGCGAAGGCGGCCUACUGGACGGUGACUGACGCUGAGGCUCGAAAGCGUGGGGAGCAAACAGG